UACGAAGGGUGCAAGCGUUACUCGGAAUUACUGGGCGUAAAGCGUGCGUAGGUGGUGAGUUAAGUCUGUCGUGAAAGCCCCGGGCUCAACCUGGGAAUGGCGAUGGAUACUGGCUCGCUAGAGUGCGGUAGAGGAGAGUGGAAUUCCCGGUGUAGCAGUGAAAUGCGUAGAGAUCGGGAGGAACAUCAGUUGCGAAGGCGGCUCUCUGGACCAGCACUGACACUGAGGCACGAAAGCGUGGGGGGCAAACAGG
rnacentral:rRNA from 1 species